UGCAAUCAUUUUGACAAGGAGGCCGUGGCAGGGACUCCAGGAGGAAGACUGGAAAGUGACUGGGAUUACACCUCCUUCCCAGGCUGCGGAGGCUGGUGGUGCCAGUGCACGCAGGUAGAAGCCAACAUCUUCUCCAUGGGAGCAGAUUAAUGGUAAAGGACUGUACUCUUCAACUCAUGCAGAGAA